rnacentral:tRNA from 1 species
UGUGAAAUAAGCUAAACAUAAGCUGUUGGGUUCAUACCCCAAAAAUGAAUAUAUUAUUCUUUUACAG